CUCAUUUUUCUUUUCCUUUUCUCUUUCUUUAUUUUCCCUUCAGCUCUUCUCAAGCUUAGUUUCGAUCUUUUAAGAGAUUAGAGUCUUACAAAAGUUUCGAUCUAUGUAAGCUUUUUCGAUUUAGGGUUACAUCGUCUGUUUUUCACCACAUUUGGGGAAAAGCUCGAGACUGCUGUUGUUAAUUGAGUUAGGGUUUUAUUUUGAUGGAUCUGGUGAUGUUGGAGAAGAAGAUGAUGAAGAUUUAAUCUGUGGUUACAAGAAUCAGUACAGGAAGAAAUGGAAAUGUUUUCAUCUGCUAACCGUGGCUUCACGAAGAAGAAAGGGGUCACUGUUGUAAUUGGAGUUGAUUUCAUGGGUUUGGUUCGGAUUCGAUGGUUGAUUUGAGUUGGAACAAGUCAGCGGCUGAUUGGGUUUUGAGAUUGAAGUUGCAGUGCUGCACAUGGAUGAAGAAAUGAGCUGCUAAUGGUUUUGUUGUCGCUGUUGCUGUUUAGGGAAACUGUGUGUUAGGGCAUUGGGUUCUGAAAGUUUUGAGAUACAGAGAUCUCAAGCAAAGAAGGAUCAGUUGGAUUAUGAAUUGAAUUUGCAAGGAUUCAAGAGGAGAUGGAAAAGGUGUUGCUGCUAGUGAUAGUAAGAACUGGUGGUGAUGUUCUAGAUAACUGAAAUUGGUGUUGCAGGCAGUAUGGUGGAUGAGUUAUGUGAGCUGAGUUGCAAUAGGAAUUGGUGCGUGGAUCUUUAGCUCGUGCUGGAGAAGUCAGAGGACAAACUUCAAAGGUAACUAAACAAUGCAAGAAUAAGAAUGCUAGAGGUAGAGCUCACAGGGAAUGUUUCGUUGCUGCUGCCUGCUGGCCAAAUGCCUAGUGACAAGACUGUUGGCGGAGGAGGCCGAGCUUCAGAGACAAGACUGUUGUUGGUUUAGACUUCCAUCUCUAAGAUUUUUAUUUUGUGACAAUAGGCUCUCAGGUAUAGAAAGUUUUGGGGAGAAAAGGACGAGCUUCGGAGAUUCAAAGAUGACAUAUUGCGGAAAGCACAAGUAGUUUGCUUUAACAUAUGACGGCUCUUCAUGGUUUAGCGUUUCUGUUUUGAGAUUACUAAUGUGCUACAAUUUUUUGUUGUACGGAACAAUAUGGGAAUGUCAGCAUUGGGAAAGGCACCUCAUUGUCAAAUUGUUGUUGUGUGAUCUGUUCCUUUGUAGGUUUGCGAUCAUUUGUUGUUUGCGGUUGCAGAUUUCCAUUCUAUUUUUUACACCGUUCUUUUCGAAGG